AUGAGGAGGAGGUUUCAAAGCAAAGACAGGACUGAGGGUGGAACGCCAUUGUCUUAUUUUCUUUCUUUCUGUUUCCUAUUCAGAUUCCUCUUCUCUUUGGAGUCUUUCUUUGGCUUCAAUUUCCACCGGCAAAAGACACAGAAGUUACCGUCUUCCUUCCAAGUGGCGCUUUCAAAUUCAUCUUGUAUUUUCUACCUGCAGAAAAAGAAACAUUUGCUUCCAAACAUAUCAUUAGAAUCUUUUUGGAACUCUGGAUGCAUGAGAAAGUCACUGGGGACCAUGUCACAGAUCCUGGCUGGGACGGUGGCUGCCUGCUGGAGGCCCUGCCCUGGACAGUGGCCUACAGUUUACGGACCGAAGGAAUCUACGACAAUGGGAAGAGGAGGCACCCUCUACAUUCACCCUGAUUUUCUCCGUGAGAGUGUGUUGGAGUUCCUGGAGGAAAAGUCUGCUGCGGUGAGGGGUCCCUGCAGGACUCCGGCCCCCAGGAGCUUCUCACGUGUCACGCCACACACAGAUGCUAGCGGUUCAUCAGAAUUCCCACCUUACUGUGCCUACUGGCUUGCAGCUUCUGGUGGUGUCUGCUCCAGGUUAGCAAAUCUCCCCUGUACUUACCCUGAAAGCCCAUUUCUUCAGAUUUACAGAUGGUGGUUUGCCCAGAGCCUCAAUUCUCUGAUGGAUCCAAGAAAAGUUGUUCCUGUUAAGCUCAUCCAGCUUUUCUUAGUAGAAGGAUGAGAAUGCUGACUUCCAAGCACUUUAGGCAUCUGAGCUGAAACUGGAAGUCCAGCAAAGCCGUGUUGGAGUUUCCUUCUUGACUUUCUAGCUGUGAGGCUCAGAGAGGGGAGAGGCCUCCAGGGGAAAGACAUUUACUACAGGUCAGAACAGCUUGGCUCCCUUCAGACCCAGACAGUUUUGGAGGGUCUGGGAGUCAUUCCAAGGCGAUGGUCUGGUAGCAUCUGCAGGACCCUGAAGUCAGAGGACAGGACCCCGACAGAAAGAAUAGACUCAUCCUCCAAGUUACUGGAUGUUUUUUGAAAGUCAGACACUGUGUCCUGUCCUCCACAUGGAUGAGGCAGGUAUGAUGGCCCCAAGUCCAAGUUCACCUGCUCUGUUAAGCCCCUGUGAAGACCCAGCCUCUUUGCCCCUGACCACAACCACUUUUCCAAAGUGCACUCUAGUGCUGGCUCUGUGACAUGUUAAUCAGAGUCAUGGGAAGUUGGAGCACAGGAGGUGCCAUAAGGAAACUAGUUUGGAAAACUGAUUGCCACUUAGGAGAAUUCUGAUUCCAAGGUGCUGAUCCUCGUACAGAGCUUGAUUCUUGACUGAAGGAGGAAGGUGGNNNNNNNNNNNNNNNNNNNNNNNNAUGAGCCAUUCAGGUGGGACCAAAGGGAACAAACUGAUUGGAAAUAGACCACCUGGGAGGUGAAUGAAAGGGGUUCUGAAGACAGGAAUCUUGUAGCCUAGCUAAAUACUUGUUUAAAAAUCCUGAUGGAGAAAGAAUCCAAGUGUACACUAGACUAGCUGAAGCAGAUGAAAUAAUUAAUGCCCUUAGACAUCACACCAGAAGUCUGCACCUCCGGAAAGCUUCCCCACAGUCAGACAGAGGAGGUUGCGGACCUCAGGGAAAACGUUACGCCCUCCCAGCCUGCAUCAGGGGAAAGCAGGCAUGUUUGCCAAAUUCCAGACUUAGAGACAGUUUACCCCGUCACGGUUUAGGAGACCCUUUCCAAGUAUAUGACACGAUCCGUCACACGUGCGCAGCAGUCCCAUCUGACACCUGGAACAUACAAGUCAAAUUUCUUGCAGGAAAAUUUGAAAGAGUCACUGGCUGACAUCCAAGCAGCUAAUUCUCCAGGAAAGAAGAGCUCGUGAUAAUGAGCUGAGUGUUCUUUUGGCCGAGAGACGCUGGCACAAAUUAAAAAAUGAGCACUUAUCAGAGACCAAAAAUAUCAAGAAGCCUUUUAAAGGUCUCCAAAAUAUCCUUUUGUUUCUGAUGUUGCACGUGGGGAGUUUGGCAGUCGCCUGCAAGGAUAACCCCCAUGUGGGGUCCAGGGUCCAGACGUCAGAGCCUCUGAUGGUCAGCCCAUCCCCACGCGGCAGCUCCUCACUGAGACGAGAAGGCAGGGCUGGCUCUUGCUCCAACCCUCCCACCUUCAGACGGAGCCUCUGGCCUGGGCUCCAGCCUCCCCUGUCUGACAUCCCUGGGGCAGUGCUUGGAGGACUCUUUGCCUCGCUCCUCUCCCCAGCCUGCCUUAGAUUCCAGAACGGAGGAAGAGACUGCCCAGGAGGGGUCCUCAUGGGCACUCCCCCUCCAGGCUCAUCCUCCCGAGUGUCUGCAUGUCUACACCAUGCCUACACAGAGACACAGCAUGUCUACACCAAGCCCUGUCCACACAGCAGAAGGAGAAAGCAGAAGUGAGUCGCCUUCCUUCCAGUGAGGCUGCUUCUGCGGAUCCAGAACCACAACGAGAGGCUCUUCUCUCUGCUCAAAUAAUUUUUUUUUUUCUUUUUUCCCUUUGCCUUUUAUUGCUGUUAGUUUUUAUUGGCCCAGAUGGAAACAGGAUAGGGUUUUAUUAUUCUUAGAUAGUGUUUUAUAACUAUAGUUUGUAUAAAUCUGACUCAUAUAAGUUUAUUGAUGGAAUUAUAUUUGUAAGGAGUGCGUUACAGUGUCUUUAUUGUUGUUCACAAAUCAUCCAAAAAGGUGGCAAUGAUUUUAUUUUGUCAUUUUCCUAGAAUAAAUUAGAAAUUUUUCUCUUUUGCUCUUACUGCUGUUGCUUAGGUAAAUAUACAAUGAUUCAAAUGCAGACUUGCUAACAAAAUGUUUAGGACAGCGUUUCAUAAAUCCACAUGUAAAUGUGGAUCUUAUUCAAUCUUUUGUUUCCAUCUUCUGUGAGCAGUAGUAUUCUUGUUAUUACGCUUUCACAAUAUCUUCUACUGAUUUGGAAACUGUCAAUUCUGGUCUCUCUUCUCAAGCAAUGUUGAGAUUUCUCUCAUCUGAUGUUGCUGCUGGAGUUCAGUGAUUACACAAGUGUCCCAGUGGCAGCUCAAUACAAUUAUAGUUCUUUGGAGAGCAUUGGAUAAAUGGAGCUUAUGUAAAAGUGCAUUUCCUGCGUGCAUGGCCCCCUUUCCUCUCUGCCUGGAGGAAGGGCAGCCUUUCUGUCUCUGCUGCUCAAUGAAGCCCAUACAUGAGCCGCAGAGCGAGUUUCACGUGAGCUGUCUCCCAGUCAGGUAUUUGAGCCCACAGCUUAUUUCUUUACCAGGGGGUGAACUGACCCUGCAGCUGUUGUUCAGUCACUCAGUCGUGGCUGACUCUUUGCGACCCCGUGGACUGCGAUAUACCAGGCUUCCCUGUCCUUAAUGAAAUAAAGUUUGGCCUUAAAAAAAAUAGUUUUGGAGGGACUUCCCUUGCAGCCCAAUGGUUAAGACUUCGUGCUUUCACUGAAAGGGGCAUGGGUUUGAAACCUGAUUGGGGAACUAACACGUGCAUGUGGUGUGGCGAAGACAUAGAUUUGAAAUUUAUGCAAUUUCUUACAGUCAGUGUCUUGUGGCACCCGAAGGUUGAACGGUGUCAUUUGGGGGUGUAUGCUCAUGGCAUCCGGUCCCAUCACUUCAUGGGAAAGAGUGGGGAAACAGUGGAAACAGUGUCAGACUUUAUUUUUGGGGGCUC
ensembl:lncRNA